rnacentral:rRNA from 1 species
CUCAGGAUGANNNGCNGGCGGCGUGCCUAAUACAUGCAAGUCGAACGCUUUGUGGUUCAACUGAUUUGAAGAGCUUGCUCAGAUAUGACGAUGGACAUUGCAAAGAGUGGCGAACGGGUGAGUAACACGUGGGAAACCUACCUCUUAGCAGGGGAUAACAUUUGGAAACAGAUGCUAAUACCGUAUAACAAUAGCAACCGCAUGGUUGCUACUUAAAAGAUGGUUCUGCUAUCACUAAGAGAUGGUCCCGCGGUGCAUUAGUUAGUUGGUGAGGUAAUGGCUCACCAAGACGAUGAUGCAUAGCCGAGUUGAGAGACUGAUCGGCCACAAUGGGACUGAGACACGGCCCAUACUCCUACGGGAGGCAGCAGUAGGGAAUCUUCCACAAUGGGCGAAAGCCUGAUGGAGCAACGCCGCGUGUGUGAUGAAGGGUUUCGGCUCGUAAAACACUGUUGUAAGAGAAGAAUGACAUUGAGAGUAACNNNNAAUGUGNG